UUUCCUUUGCUCCUUCUUCCUAUUUGGUCCACCUCUACCUCCCUGCCGGCAGCGGCGUUUCCCAGGAUCCCGUUCGAGCCUCUCUGUGCUGCUACUGCUCGUCCUCCCGCUCCUGUACCUCCUUGUGUCCCCACCAACACCUUCCCCUUUGCGCCACACCCCAACCCCACCAAGGCCUCCUCCAUGGUCGUCUGCGCGCCGCUAGACCUCCACCCACCGCUCGGUGAAGUCAGGUGGUCCUUCCUCCUCGUCGCCUCCGCCACGGACGCUGCCGCACAAGGAGCCCUGUUUUCUGCAUAGCUUUGAGCUUACUGUCCAAACAACUUGCAGACACCAUGCACUCCUUUAAUUAUCGCGACAGAUUGUUCAGGUUUGAUUGCUGCACAUUAGGUUAAUUACUACACCUUUAGUUCCAUUAUGUUUGUUUGUACAGAAUUGAUGUAAAAAUACCAUAUGAAUAAUCAAACUUGUCUCCUAAAUUGUGUCACCUCUGGUCUUCUUGUGAAGAACCAGUUCAUGCAUCAAUUCUUAUAUCUGUAAGAAAAUGUCAGAAUAUGGAGACAAAAAGAAAAUCAGGAACCAAUGACUUGGUACUUUAUGCAAGGCAUUACUCUGAUAUGAAAUAUAUGGAUGCCAGAAUGUAGCCUUGUAUUUACGUGUUUUGACUUGUUUACUACUCAUCUACUCCUAUUAAUGGCUCAACAUCUUUUAUUUGAAGUAGAACUGAUCACAAGUUUCGGGGCCUCUGUUAUUUAUAAACGAUCUUUGAUUUCUACGCUAUAACAGUUAUAUUGACUAAAUAGUGCCUUGCUAUUUUCCAUCGUUUGCCUAGGCAGGUCUUGGGAGAGUGCUAGAGAUACCAAAAUGUCACGUGGAAUACUGAACUAGUUGCAUCAGUCAUAACAACAGUUGGGGAAAGAACAUUUGGCUGCUUUAGGUGGUUCCCUCCAAAGCCAUAGUCUGGAAUCAUAAAGGAAGGGCAACCAGUUAAGUGGUUCUUUCCUCUUUGUUCCUUUGCAUAUUCAUCUGUCCUUAUGAUUCCAGAUUAUAGUCAAAAUAUGUCAGGUAGCUAUAUAGUGUUCCUUGCUCUUCAGAGAUAUGGUUGGUAUGUACGUUCUUCUUGUUGUACCAUCUAUAUGGUAAUUUGCAGUCUAGUUUAUAAGGCACCAUAUGGUGUUUCUUAAGUAACUUGAUAUGUUUACCCUUCAAAUUGUCUUUGUAAACUGCAUGUACCUUUGACAACUCGCGUCCGGAUUCCGCUCAGCCGGUUCGCACCAUCCAACUACUCCAAGUUGCUGCUUCGGCAUUGGCUGGCUGCCCAACCUUAGGUUGCUUUUAAUUCCUUUAGUCGAGGUUUUAAUUUACUUUAGAGGAGCUUUCAUUUUUUUCUUAGUUCUUUUGAGAUGAGCUUUACAUUUUGCUGACCUGAGAUGCUACUUAACUAUUUUUUGACAUGGUAUUUCAAUUUCUAGGGAGGAGCUUUCAAUUUUCUUAAGACGAGUUAUUGUUUUAUUCUUGUCAUGAGCUUUUAGUUUUUAAGGAUUGACUUCAA